rnacentral:lncRNA from 14 species
UGAAAUAGCUGAGGAUUGCCUGAAGCAAGGGAUGCUUCCCGUGUUUAAGACAAGCACCGACCUGCGCUCACGAGGAAGGAGAGACUCAAUUCACUCCACAAGGAUUCCUCGGAGACCUUAUUUCCAAGGGACCAAAGAAGGAGAAGAGGAUGAGAAGCCGAGAUGGUCACAAGAGGCUCUGCUGUUGGUGUCUGUCUUUCGCCUUGGAAGAGGAACCUGAGGCUUCCCUGCGCUAAGAGCUUCUGUGUCCCAUCUGCUCCCACGCCCUGAAGUCAAACUCGGCAGCUUAGGUGCAGCAGGCACUGUACAAACAUGUCAGCCUUGCCUCCACCCCUUUCCCUGCUCCCUGCUCCCGUCUCUGCCUCUCGAGCUCAUCGCCGUGUCAGCGGAUCCCGGUGUCGGAGCGCUCGCACCUCACCUCUGCUUACGGAGCAAUGAGGAGUCAGGGGGAUGGUCCUGGAAGGGAAGCAAAUCCGGGAGCUGGAUUCCUUUGGGAAGGACUUUACUUCAGCUUUACUCCUAUAGCCCAGCAACACCGUCCUCCAAUCGGCUUUGCUGCAUGACAGUGGGAGAGUUUCCCUUCAGACCCUUCUUUCUCCUCUCCCUUGGAAUUGGCCUCUACCAGCAUUGUUGCAGCAGGACUGACAGACAUUAACGCUUUAAUGUAUCUGGGGACAGAGUACUGAAAACCAGAAGAGAAGUUUGUGGCUG